AGUGAACGCUGGCGGUAGGCCUAACACAUGCCAGUCGAACGGCAGCACAGUAAGAGCUUGCUCUUACGGGUGGCGAGUGGCGGACGGGUGAGGAAUACAUCGGAAUCUACUUUUUCGUGGGUGAUAACGUAGGGAAACUUACGCUAAUACCGCAUACGACCUACGGGUGAAAGCAGAGGAUCUUCGGACCUUGCGCGAUUGAAUGAGCCGAUGUCGGAUUAGCUAGUUGGCGGGGUAAAGGCCCGCCAAGGCGACGAUCCGUAGCUGGUCUGAGAGGAUGAUCAGCCACACUGGAACUGAGACACGGUCCAGACUCCUACGGGAGGCAGCAGUGGGGAAUAUUGGACAAUGGGCGCAAGCCUGAUCCAGCCAUACCGCGUGGGUGAAGAAGGCCUUCGGGUUGUAAAGCCCUGUUGUUGGGAAAGAAAAGAAGCAGGUUAAUACCCCGCUGUUCUGACGGUACCCAAAGAAUAAGCACCGGCUAACUUCGUG
rnacentral:rRNA from 1 species